CCAGACUCCUACGGGAGGCAGCAGUGGGGAAUAUUGCACAAUGGGGGAAACCCUGAUGCAGCGACGCCGCGUGAGUGAAGAAGUAUUUCGGUAUGUAAAGCUCUAUCAGCAGGGAAGAUAAUGACGGUACCUGAGUAAGAAGCCCCGGCUAACUACGUGCCAGCAGCCGCGGUAAUACGUAGGGGGCAAGCGUUAUCCGGAUUUACUGGGUGUAAAGGGAGCGUAGACGGCAUGGCAAGUCUGAAGUGAAAGCCCGGGGCUCAACCGCGGGACUGCUUUGGAAACUGUUAAGCUGGAGUGCAGGAGAGGUAAGUGGAACUCCUAGUGUAGCGGUGAAAUGCGUAGAUAUUAGGAGGAACACCAGUGGCGAACGCGGCUUACUGGACUGUAACUGACGUUGAGGCUCGAAAGCGUGGGGCGCACACAGGAUGAGAUACCCCUGUAC
rnacentral:rRNA from 1 species